rnacentral:rRNA from 1 species
AUUGAACGCUGGCGGCAGGCCUAACACAUGCAAGUCGAACGAGUGGCGGACGGGUGGACAAGGUCUGGGAACCUGCCUGACGGAGGCGGCUAACGACGGGAAACGUUAGCUACUACUGCAUACGAUGAGUUGGGCCCAGGGUGGAUUAGCUUGUUGGGGGGGUAACGGCUCACCAAGGCGACGAUGCCUAGCUGGUCUGAGAGGAUGACCGGCCACACUGGAAAUGAGACACGGUCCAGACUCCUACGGGAGGCAGCAGUGGGGAAUAUUGCGCAAUGGGCGCAAGUCUGAUGCAGCCAUGCCGCGUGAAUGAAGAAGGCCUUCGGGUUGUAAAGCACUUUCGGCGGGGAGGCGGUACCCGCAGAGAAAGCAACGGCUAACUCCGUGCCAGCAGCCGCGGUAAUAC